rnacentral:rRNA from 1 species
GGUAUGUGCAUCUUGUGAGUCAGUUCUUCUGCCCCGAAUACAUUAGCAUGGGAUAAUGGAAUAGGACCCUGUCCUCCUAUUUUGCGUGUUGGUUUUCGAGGACCGGGUAAUGAUUAAUAGGGAUAGUUGGGGGCAUUAAUAUUUAAUUGUCAGAGGUGAAAUUCUUGGAUUUAUGAAAGAUUGACUUCUGCGAAAGCAUCUGCCAAGGAUGUUUUCAUUAAUCAAGAACGAAAGUUAGGGGAUCGAAGACGAUCAGAUACCGUCGUAGUCUUAACCAUAAACGAUGCCGACCAGCGAUUAGGAGACGUUGAAUACAAAACACCACCGUUGGGUCGUGGCGGGCCGUGCCCCGCGGUCCGUCGUGCGCGGCGACGCGUGCGGCGGCCACGGGGACCGCGGUCCGUAUCAGCCACCCGACGGCCCGGUGAAUGACUCCCCUAGCAGCUUGUGAGAA